CUUACACUUGCCCUCCAACAACCCUUCGGGAGAACCCUUCCUGUUGAAGCUCCAAGGCUGGUUUCCUCGGAAUCGAUGGAUAAAAAAGAGAGUGUUGUGAAGGAGACACAUGACCAGGUGCAAAAGGGAAACGGAGGAUCUCCAGACCCUCCUCCACCUAGUAAUAAUCUACUGGAUCUGGGACUACCUCCUUUAACCACUAACAUAAAAGAUCUAAAUCAGGAUUUGAAGGAGGUAAAAUU